rnacentral:sRNA from 1 species
UGGUUUCGACAUAUAGAUCUGUAAUUUUUUCCAUACCGCUUAAAUUAAGGUGGGACUUAAAAUAGUUGCAAAUAACAUUUUAUCUUUUAAUACAAAACUAGCUUUAGCUUAAGUUUUUCCGUAUGUCAGAUAACCUAUAUACUCUUUGGUAUUGUCUGAUUAUUUAAGAACAAAGAGGCGCUUUUAGGUAAAGGAUAUUUUAAUUUCAAGUUUUUAACGUUAGUAAAAAAAGAAUUUUUAGGUCUAGAUGGACGUGGGUUCAAAU